rnacentral:tRNA from 1 species
GGGUGACUGGCAGAGAUGGCUGAUGCACUCGCCUCUUAAGCGAGACCAGUCUGGUUCGAUUCCAGCGUCACCCACCA